GAUGAACGCUAGCUACAGGCUUAACACAUGCAAGUCGAGGGGUCUCGCGGGAGCUUGCUCCCAAGAGACGACCGGCGCACGGGUGAGUAACGCGUAUCCAACCUGCCCUUCAUAUUGGGAUAGCCUUCCGAAAGGAAGAUUAAUACCGAAUAACAUAGAGUGGUUGCCUGAUUUCUCUAUGAAAGCUCCGGCGAUGAAGGAUGGGGAUGCGUUCCAUUAGGUAGUAGGCGGGGUAACGGCCACCUAGCCAACGAUGGAUAGGGGUUCUGAGAGGAAGGUCCCCCACACUGGAACUGAGACACGGUCCAGACUCCUACGGGAGGCAGCAGUGAGGAAUAUUGGUCAAUGGGCGCAAGCCUGAACCAGCCAAGUAGCGUGAAGGAUGACUGCCCUAUGGGUUGUAAACUGCUUUUGCGGGAGAAUAACCGGCGCCACGCGUGGCGCCCUGCAUGUA
rnacentral:rRNA from 1 species